GCAAAAUACGGGAGACAUCACCAGUGACUCGUCUUCAUGAAAUGAUAAUCUGGAAUGCAGGGGGUCCCUUCCCAAGCCCCCCGUAUUCUAGCUAAAACCUUUAUGGAUUAGUUCUUGGUCUAAUUCCCUUGCAGUGUCCCCAGGAGAGGAGCGAGAAGGUGUCAGUAUCCCCAGAUCUGGAGGGGAGAAAAGUGCAUCGUUAGGAGAAGUGAUGUGGCCUAGUAUUGCAGUGUCCUGGAUCAUGACAAGGGAUUUCCUCCACUCAACACACUUGAAGGAAGGGGUACGAGGCCGGGCACCUGCUUCUGCACCAUUCCAUCAGCUGAUGCCUGGGUUCACUCUCUCAGACCAACACCUCUGCUCAAGACACCCCAGCUGCAAGGGAGCUGAGCUGCUCCCAACCCUGGUGUCUGUCCUCACACCUCCAAGCUAGCUGGAUCUGCCUAGAGAGAGAAGAGAGCAGGCAGGGCCGCUGCCCGAAGGCUGAGAAGACCAGUGAGUGUGUAGGAAAGGCCCAGGACUCGGGGGCUCAGAUCUGAGAACACAGGCACGUGCCAUCGAGAGACUGGGUCCACCUGCGUCUCAGGGUCCCCCUCUGCCAGGCAGGGUAAUAGAUAUUUCAGAGUUGUAUAGGAAGGAUGUGAGUCUAUGCAAAACGCCCUCCACAAGGCUGGUCCAUAAGCAACCAUCACUCUCUCUGUGCUCCUCUGACAUUCAGGAUGUAGAUAGGAGCCUUGUCCCAGUGAGCCAUAACCUCAGCCCAAGAGGGCAGAGUCUUUCCAAGUUACUGAGAAUCCUGCAAAGAUUGCCGAGGCUUGGGGUUAAAGGCGUACCCCACGACGCCUGCCUUCAUUUUUAUUUUUAUUUAUUCAUUUAUUUAGGUAUCGGGGAUCAAAUCCAGGAGGACCUCGUGCAUCCUAAACGUGUUCUACUACUGAGUUGCAUUCCCCAGCUCUAUCAUUUUUAGCUAUAAUUUUGAGACUGGGGUUCAUAAACAAGAGUGGAAAGAUUUACAAUAAAUCCAAUAAGGUAAAGCCGAGUAACUUCUAGAAAAGCUGAAGAGUGUGUGUGUGGGGGGGAGACAACGGGGUAAAGGGAAUUAUUGAAGAAGGAUUAACAGAAGGGGUGAAGGUCCAAGGCUUGUGGGAAACAGCUGGUAGACAGAAAAAAAUCUUUUUUAAAAAAAACCCUAACAAAUAAUUUGAAUGAAGAUUACUUGGUAAAGACAUCAGAAAGAAUAUAUGGUGUCGGAUCAGUCACGAGCCAUCUGAGACCAACGCUGUUUCCUAGAAAGGAUGGCCUCUCACUUGUAUUAUAUCAAAAGCUGUUUGGUGAUUGAAAGGGCAGCUGGUGGCAGUCUGGUUUAAAAAAAAAGAAAAAUCACAGAAAGAAGGAAUGGGGGCUCAAAGAAAAUCCUCUGUGUCUGAAAGAAAUAUAUAUAUAUAUAGUCUUGAUUUGUAUCUGAAAUGCCCCAGAAUGAGUGCUUCUGAGAAAUGAAUCCACGAACAGGGAGUUGAGAAAUUGGGCAUAAUGGAGUCUCUUUCAGCAAGGAGAGGGCGAUUGAAAGGGGGAAGAAAAAAAAAAAGAAGAAAAAUCAAAUGGAAUUCAGAGAGAGAAGAAAGGCUGGGUAGAAGGGAGGAAAGGGCUUUUGUCUGAGGUUUAAGCAACGAAUCUGGCUUAGGAGGCCGACUCCUGGUGUACAGUGCGCUGUGUUUAGCUUGAAUAGCGGUGGCUGCCUUUUUAUUAUUAUUAUUAUUUUUUAACUCACAAAAAAAUCAAAGUAUUGUAUAGCUUUUCCAACCUGCCUGAGGCUCUAGGUAAUAAAAAAGAAAAAGGAUGAAUCAUAUGUUAAGAAUAUAGCUUGGAUGCAAAAAAAAUAUCCCCCAAUGACACAAUGACAUGAUUGGUUUAACAAGUCCCGGGUGUUUGUCUCACGGAGAAAUGACUAUUUUUGGAAUUUCACGAAGCAGAAAUAAAUCACAAGCCUGUUCAGGGAUUUGUGAUGUGGGGUCCGCUUUGAACAUCUGAAAGCUGGAUUCUUGGAUGUCGUCUUGUGUUUGUAUUUGUUCUCCGUGGAGGCAGUUUAAAACUGAAAUCGUGUUUACUGGGUGCCCGGCCCUGUUCAGAGCCCUUAUGUGCAUCCACACCAGUGAUCCUUAGGGCAGCCCUAAGAGGUGGGUUCUAUUAUUACUCUAUAUUUCAGAUGAGGAAACCGAGGCGCAGAGAGGAUAAAUAAUUUGUCCAAGGUCAUGCAGCCAGGAAUGGGCAGAGCCUGGAUUCCAUGUAACUAAUUCCCCUUGCACUCACCCCUGUGUGCAGCAAUGGUCCAAAAUUGUCCUAGGCACUUCUUCCUUAAGAAAGAAAACACCACAUAGAAAGUUCUUAUGCCUGUUGUAUUUCGAUUCUGUGUUCCAUCCCCCGUCCCAUGAAUGCAGAAUGCACCCUCUAAUUCCUUUUUCAAAUAUAAGUCCUUUUUUCUUCUUCUCUUCGGCUUUCUGGCCAUGAGGAGAGCAGUUCUGCUAUACUUGCAUUUCUUACCAUGAUGUGCUACCUCAUCACAGGCCCAAAAGCCACAGGUCAACCAGCCAGAGACUGAAAACUCAAAAACUGUGAGCCAAAAAAAGAAUUUCCCUCCUGUUGAUUAUGUCAGGUAAUUUGUUACAGUAAUGGAAAGCUAACACAUGUAAGUUAUAUUACUUUAAAAUAGUACCCUUUGGGCCACUUGUUUUUUCUCUCCAUUUCUGCCACUACAAUUGUGAACGCCUGUGUUGACAUGUAUUUUUUUUAUUUACUUUUUGGUAGACACAACAUCUUUAUUUUUAUUUUUAUGUGGUGCUGAGGAUCGAACCCAGCGCCCCGCGCAUGCCAGGCGAGCGCACUACCGCUUGAGCCACAUCCCCAGCCCUGUUGACAUGUAUUGAUCUCUUUUAACUCACAAAGUGGUUGUGUAGCCACUGGCCACAUUUGGUUACUAAGCACUUGAAAUGUGGCUAGUUCAAAUGGAGAUGGCUCUGCUGUAAGUGUAAAACACACAUCAGAUUUCAGAGACAGUUUGAAAAAGUUAAAUAAUCAGUUAAUGAUUUUGAGUGUUGAUUACAUGUUGAAAUGACAAUAUUUUGAAUAUAUUUGGGUUAAAAAUAUUAAAAUUAACUUCUCUUGUUUUUUUAUUUUGUUAAUGUGACCACUAGAAAACUAAACAUGGCUUGUGGCUCAUUUUAUGGCUAAUAUUGUAUUUCUACUGGAAAGAGAUCCUUCUUUUUAAAAUGAUAUCCUAGUUUAAUAAUAAUCUUUAAGAUGACGUUUUAGUUUCAUUAAUUGAAGAUGUACUUUUUAAACGGCUGUCAGCCUAUUUGUUAAUUGAUGAAGGGGGAACCCUAAAUCUGAAUAAUAAAAAUUGAUAUUUACAGAUCAUAAAUUGAUAUUCAUUGAUUGUUA
rnacentral:lncRNA from 1 species